rnacentral:rRNA from 1 species
UACGUAGGUGGCAAGCGUUGUCCGGAUUUACUGGGCGUAAAGGGAGCGUAGGUGGAUAUUUAAGUGGGAUGUGAAAUACUCGGGCUUAACCUGGGUGCUGCAUUCGAAACUGAAUAUCUAGAGUGCAGGAGAGGAAAGUAGAAUUCCUAGUGUAGCGGUGAAAUGCGUAGAGAUUAGGAAGAAUACCAGUGGCGAAGGCGACUUUCUGGACUGUAACUGACACUGAGGCUCGAAAGCGUGGGGAGCAAACAGGAUUAGAAACCCUUGUAGUCC